GAUGAACGCUGGCGGCAGGCCUAACACAUGCAAGUCGAACGAGUGGCGGACGGGUGAGUAAUGUCUGGGAAACUGCCCGAUGGAGGGGGAUAACUACUGGAAACGGUAGCUAAUACCGCAUACCAUCGGAUGUGCCCAGAUGGGCUUAGCUAGUAGGUGGGGUAACGGCGCACCUAGGCGACGAUCCCUAGCGGGUCUGAGAGGAUGACCAGCCACACGGGAACUGAGACACGGUCCAGACUCCGACGUGAGGCAGCAGUGGCGAAUAGUGCACAAUGGGCGCAAGCCGGAGGCAGCCAUGCCGCGUGUAUGAAGAAGGCCUUCGGGUUGUAAAGUACUUUCAGCGGGGAGGCGUUACCCGCAGAAGAAGCACCGGCUAACUCCGUGCCAGCAGCCGCGGUAAUAC
rnacentral:rRNA from 1 species